rnacentral:rRNA from 1 species
UGGGGAAUAUUGGACAAUGGGCGAAAGCCUGAUCCAGCCAUGCCGCGUGUGUGAAGAAGGCCUUAUGGUUGUAAAGCACUUUAAGCGAGGAGGAGGGUACUGGUAUUAAUACUACCAGGUACUGGACGUUACUCGCAGAAUAAGCACCGGCUAACUCUGUGCCAGCAGCCGCGGUAAUACAGAGGGUGCGAGCGUUAAUCGGAUUUACUGGGCGUAAAGCGCGCGUAGGUGGUUCGUUAAGUUGAAUGUGAAAGCCCCGGGCUCAACCUGGGAACUGCAUCCAAAACUGGCGAGCUAGAGUAGGGCAGAGGGUGGUGGAAUUUCCUGUGUAGCGGUGAAAUGCGUAGAUAUAGGAAGGAACACCAGUGGCGAAGGCGACCACCUGGGCUCAUACUGACACUGAGGUGCGAAAGCGUGGGGAGCAAACAGG